UAGGGAAUCUUCCGCAAUGGGCGAAAGCCUGACGGAGCAACGCCGCGUGAGUGAUGAAGGUCUUCGGAUCGUAAAACUCUGUUAUUAGGGAAGAACAAAUGUGUAAGUAACUAUGCACGUCUUGACGGUACCUAAUCAGAAAGCCACGGCUAACUACGUGCCAGCAGCCGCGGUAAUACGUAGGUGGCAAGCGUUAUCCGGAAUUAUUGGGCGUAAAGCGCGCGUAGGCGGUUUUUUAAGUCUGAUGUGAAAGCCCACGGCUCAACCGUGGAGGGUCAUUGGAAACUGGAAAACUUGAGUGCAGAAGAGGAAAGUGGAAUUCCAUGUGUAGGUGAAAUGCGCAGAGAUAUGGAGGAACACCAGUGGCGAAGGCGACUUUCUGGUCUGUAACUGACGCUGAUGUGCGAAAGCGUGGGAAUCAAACAGG
rnacentral:rRNA from 1 species